AAUAAGGUGCCUGAAUAAAAGGAUUAUUUUGAUAGAAUAAAUCAUGUAGUUAAUCUACUCUUAUUA
rnacentral:tRNA from 1 species